AGCAGCCGCGGUAAUUCCAGCUCCAAUAGCGUAUAUUAAAGUUGUUGCAGUUAAAAAAGCUCGUAGUUGAAUUUCGGGAUCAAUAUGUUGGUCGUGCCUUGGUACGUACUAGUUUAUUGGUUUCUUCCUUCUGACGAACCAUGAUGUCAUUAAUUUGGUGUCUUGGGGAAUCAGGACUGUUACUUUGAAAAAAUUAGAGUGUUUAAAGCAGGCUCACGCUUGAAUACAUUAGCAUGGAAUAAUGAAAUAGGACGUUUGAUUCUAUUUUGUUGGUUUCUAGGAUCGACGUAAUGAUUAAUAGGGAUAGUUGGGGGGCAUUAGUAUUCAAUUGUCAGAGGUGAAAUUCUUGGAUUUAUUGAAGACUAACUACUGCGAAAGCAUUUGCCAAGGAUGUUUUCAUUAAUCAAGAACGAAAGUUAGGGGAUCGAAGACGAUCAGAUACCGUCGUAG
rnacentral:rRNA from 1 species